UCAUCCCUGGGCAAGUGAAAGCAGGCUGAGCAAGCAGUGAAGCCAGCCAGCAAGCAGCUCUUCUCCAUGGCUUCUCUUAGUUCUCGCCUCGGGUUCCCACCCUAAUUUCCCUCAGCGAUGGACAGUUAGUUACUGGCAGCUAUAAGGUGUGAUAACCUUUCCUCCUCAUGUCUGUUUUAGUCAUGGUGUCUUAUCACAGCAGGGAGAGAGUCUUUCCAAUAUUUGCUCCGAAGCCCCAGCUCGAGUAGAGCAGCAGCAAUAAAUCGAGGCAUUCUGGUGUGAGGCCUGGGAGUGCGGUGAAAGUAACUCUUCCAGCCUCUCCAGCUGAUGGGCCAGCUUCAUUCUGCCCUGAGGGGCCCAUGGAGGCUCGAGAACUAACAAGUCCCUUAGUACACGGUGAAUGCUCUCCAUCCACCUGGUUCUAAUUCUUAGUCCUGAUUCUGCCUCUAGGACACUGAGUCCUGGUGUCUGUGCAAAAGAGUUGCCUGCUCCAGAUGGAUGGGUACAUUGAGUGCUCAGCUCAUUUCACCCUUGGGGCUUCCUGUGAAGCAAAGUGGAUUAAAGAGUCCCCCCCCCCCUCUACCUCCCACAGUUACUCCUAAACCCCAUACCUGCAAGCAUGAUCCUAUUUAGUGUCCACAGAGGCCAUUAAGGAUCUGAAGAUGUGAUCAUCUUACAACGAGGACAGUCUGUAAUCUACUGCCAGGGUCUAAAUGAGAAAGGAAAGAAGCUCUAAGCCAGACACAGGGAGAAGGCCACCUGAGACCCAAGAAGACCAGAGACGUGUACCAUAAGGAGGAGCCACCUGGAGCUGCAGAAGUGAGGGAGGCUCCUGCAGCCUGUGCCCCUCCCUCACAUCCUUGGUCCUCAGAGCCCUUACAGCUAGAGGGGUCCUAUUCUGGAUAGCUCAAGCCCCAUCAAGCAACUUUGACACCCCUCUGCAACUAACCGGCUGUCUAGCCCAGCCCAGGCCAGCUAAGGUCACUCUGCAUUCUGUAAAGAAAAGACCUGCAGCCCAACCUGAUAGUGUACCAGUUUGUUUCUCUGUUGAUGCAAUAAAACAUUGAUCAAAAGCAA
rnacentral:lncRNA from 1 species